UGGGGUUGCUGAACACGAAUACGUGAUCAGCACAGAUACAUGAGCACCUGAUGCCUAAGAUAGGUUAUUUUCAAGUUUUUAAUUUCAAUGUAGGUACCUACCUAUUCCCCCAAAAUAAAAAAAUGCACUUUUCCUGCAAGGUACAGCAAAUAAAUUAACAUUUGAUUAAUCACCCCUUAUAUUAAAUUUAUACAAUGCAAACUAAUAACUACCCAUUGAAUAUAUAGGUAAUGAGCCAUUUGUUUUAAUUUGGAUGUUCCUGACAGUCUGUCAUUAAUAAGUAAAUUAUUGGGUUUGAUAAAGAAAAUGAGCAGUUUGUUAUCUGCACCAGUGGAAUUAUGAAUCAAUAUUUUUACAUUAUGGCAAAAAGAAAGAAACUCUAAACAGUGACUCUCCAAAAACUUGCACCACAGAAUGACACGUGAAAAUAAGCUAUAACCCAAGCUGGGCAGCAACUAUUAAGAAACAUAAAAUAAGCUUAAACAAUUUUUAUUAGGAUUUUUUCGAUUUUGGGCUACCUAUUUGUCAUUCAAAAUGUUAAAACUUCAUGGAUGGAUUUUGAAAAAAGAAUUUUCCAGUAUUUCUGGAGAAAAAUGAAGAAAAUGGAUAUCAAUCAAGAACUGUAGAAUGGGGUGCAAUGAAGGAUCAGGGAUAUCCGAGGUGAGAUAUGCCAUACAAAUAUACAACAACGGCAUUUAAAUGUAGAAUUGGUCUCAGGAACAAUUAUUAUUAGUAGAAGUAAUUGCUCACAAAAUUGAAAAGUGUUAUAGAUUUGGGAUCUGUCAUCUUAAAUCCCCAUUUUAUUGUAACUUAAAGCUCUUAUUACUUUUAUAUUUUUUCAAAAUAAAUAUUGUUUUAAAGAA
rnacentral:lncRNA from 1 species